rnacentral:rRNA from 1 species
CCUUUCCGGGACUCAGUGCCGCAGCUAACGCAUUAAGCACUCCGCCUGGGGAGUACGACCGCAAGGUUGAAACUCAAAGGAAUUGACGGGGGCCCGCACAAGCGGUGGAGCAUGUGGUUUAAUUCGAAGCAACGCGAAGAACCUUACCAGGUCUUGACAUCCCGGUGCCCGUCCUAGAGAUAGGAUUUUGCUUCGGCACACCGGUGACAGGUGGUGCAUGGUUGUCGUCAGCUCGUGUCGUGAGAUGUUGGGUUAAGUCCCGCAACGAGCGCAACCCUUAUUGUUAGUUGCCAUCAUUCAGUUGGGCACUCUAGCGAGACUGCCGGUAAUAAACCGGAGGAAGGUGGGGAUGACGUCAAAUCAUCAUGCCCCUUAUGACCUGGGCUACACACGUGCUACAAUGGCUGGUACAACGAGUCGCAAGUCGGUGACGGCAAGCUAAUCUUUUUAAAUCUUAAAGCCAGUCUCAGUUCGGAUUGUAGGCUGCAACUCGCCUACAUGAAGUCGGAAUCGCUAGUAAUCGCGGAUCAGCACGCCGCGGUGAAUACGUUCCCGGGCCUUGUACACACCGCCCGUCACACCACGAGAGUUUGUAACACCCGAAAUCGGUGAGGUAACCUUUUAGGAGCCAGCCGCCUAAGGUGGGUUAUAUGAUUGGGGUGAAGUCGUAACAAGGUAGCCG